GACGUAGGGUGCAAGCGUUGUCCGGAAUUAUUGGGCGUAAAGAGCUCGUAGGCGGUCUGUCGCGUCGGCUGUGAAAUCCCGAGGCUCAACCUCGGGUCUGCAGUCGAUACGGGCAAACUAGAGUAUUGCAGGGGAGACUGGAAUUCCUGGUGUAGCGGUGAAAUGCGCAGAUAUCAGGAGGAACACCGGUGGCGAAGGCGGGUCUCUGGGCAAUAACUGACGCUGAGGAGCGAAAGCGUGGGGAGCAAACAGG
rnacentral:rRNA from 1 species